GAUGAAGAACGUAGUGAAAUGCGAUAAGUAGUGUGAAUUGCAGAAUUCAGUGAAUCAUCGAAUCUUUGAACGCACCUUGCGCCCUUUGGCUAUUCCGAAGGGCAUGCCUGUUUGAGUAUCAUGAACACCUCAACUCUCAUGGUUUUUCCAUGAUGGGCUUGGACUUUGGGGGUCUUGCUGGCCUAUGGUCAGCUCCUCUUAAACGAAUCAGCUUGCCAGUGUUUGGUGUGGCAUCACAGGUGUGAUAACUAUCUACGCUUGUGGUUUUCCAUCAAGUAACCUUCAGUGAUGGAGGUUCGCUGGGGCUCAUAAAGGCCUCUCCUCGGUGAGGAUGGCUCCUUUGAACGUUUGAUCUCAAAUCAGGUAGGACUACCCGCUGAACUUAAGCAUAUCAAUAAGCGGAGGA
rnacentral:misc_RNA from 1 species